UACGUAGGGUGCAAGCGUUGUCCGGAAUUAUUGGGCGUAAAGAGCUCGUAGGCGGUUUGUUGCGUCGGCUGUGAAAUCCCGAGGCUCAACCUCGGGUCUGCAGUCGAUACGAGCAAACUAGAGUGUUGCAGGGGAGACUGGAAUUCCUGGUGUAGCGGUGAAAUGCGCAGAUAUCAGGAGGAACACCAAUAGCGAAGGCAGCUCUCUGGGACGGUACUGACGGCUGAGACGCGAAAAGCGUGGGGGAGCGAAACAGG
rnacentral:rRNA from 1 species